rnacentral:rRNA from 1 species
UAAUACGAAGGGACCUAGCGUAGUUCGGAAUUACUGGGCUUAAAGAGCACGUAGGUGGUUAAGAAAGUUGGUGGUGAAAUCCCAAAGCUUAACUUUGGAACUGCCACCAAAACUUUUUAACUAGAGUAUGAUUGAGGUAAGCGGAAUUUCUAGUGUAGAGGUGAAAUUCGUAGAUAUUAGAAAGAACACCAAUUGCGAAGGCAGCUUUCUGGAUCAUUACUGACACUGAGGUGCGAAAGCAUGGGUAGCGAAGAGGAUUAGAUACCCUCGUAGUCCAUGCCGUAAACGAUGUGUGCUAGACGUUGGGAAUUUAUUUUUCAGUGUCGCAGCAAAAGCGUUAAGCACACCGCCUGGGGAGUACGACCGCAAGGUUA